UACAGGUAGAGGUGCGGCUGCGAUGAGUAGCUAUUCACGGGAUUACCGCUCCUAUGGUGAAUGGUGAAAGGCAAGGCUGCCGAAGGACUGUUUUUGGUAAACUCAGUUCUGGUCACAGGCUUAACAGGUUUGUGACUGUCAUCAUUCACUUUAUGAUGGAGAGCUAUCGG
rnacentral:ncRNA from 1 species